AUGGAGAUGGGCAUUGUGAAACAAGUCCUCAUCGAUGUCCUCCGUGACCAUCAUUGCACCGUCCGUCGCCGGCCUUCCAAUGACCCUUGCUCUGCCAGAUCCACCACCCCGUCGGCCGAGAGGGGGGGAGGGGGUCGGAGCCGGAGGUGCCAAGUCUCCUGCCAUGCCACAUCCAAGAAGAAGAAGCAACAGGUUGUGCCGCAUCCAAGAAGAAGUUGUCGUCCAAACCAAGAAGUAAUAGAAGCUGGGCUAAUAUACCUAUCGAAGAAGCAGCCAACGGGUCGUCUUCCAACAUCUCUUCUCUAG
rnacentral:rRNA from 1 species